UACGUAGGGUGCAAGCGUUGUCCGGAAUUAUUGGGCGUAAAGAGCUUGUAGGCGGUUUGUCGCGUCUGCUGUGAAAUUUCGGGGCUCAACCCCCGAACUUGCAGUGGGUACGGGCAGGCUAGAGUGUGGUAGGGGAGACUGGAAUUCCUGGUGUAGCGGUGAAAUGCGCAGAUAUCAGGAGGAACACCGAUGGCGAAGGCAGGUCUCUGGGCCACUACUGACGCUGAGAAGCGAAAGCAUGGGGGAGCGAACAGG
rnacentral:rRNA from 1 species